AGGUCUCAUCAAGAUCAAGAAAGACAGUCCUCUUAGUUCGCGAAAUCAAGGGCGGUAAGCAUUUGCUAAAGGAAAGCGCUCGGUAAAUGUUAUAUUUUUUAAGGCCGUAUUCUUGUUGAAGUUCUUUUCUGUGGUCCUUCAGUCCCUUCUUCAAGAUUUUGUAGCCUUUGUAGCGGCUAUUGAGGGUGCUAAUGCGUGCAAAUUUGGAGAAGAUCUUGGCAAGGCGGCUCUUGCAUGAAUAGAUAGUUUUGUUGAUGGGUGCGAAGAUGGCAGAGGAGGCAGCAACCGCCUCGAUCUUAAUAGGAUAUUUCUUCCGUUGAUGGCGAUGACUGCCCCGGAGAUCUCUAAUGGACUUUUUUGGGCUUUUCUUGAGGACUCUGCUAACCAUUUCUAGCGUUCUACAGAAAACACAGAGAGAGAGAGACAGAGACAGAG
rnacentral:misc_RNA from 1 species